rnacentral:rRNA from 1 species
UGCGCAGGCGGCUAGAUGUGUUAGGUGUGAAAUACCGGGGCUUAACUCCGGAACUGCGCCUAAAACUGUCUAGCUAGAGACUCGGAGAGGUAAGCGGAAUUCCAGGUGUAGCGGUGAAAUGCGUAGAUAUCUGGAGGAACACCAAAGGCGAAGGCAGCUUACUGGACGAGAUCUGACGCUCAGGCACGAAGGCGUGGGUAGUGAAAG